AGAGCGAACGCUGGCGGCGUGCUUAACACAUGCAAGUCGAACGCGCAGCAUUCUGUAGCAAUACAGGGUGUGGGCGCGUGGCGAACGGGUGCGUAACACGUGGAUAACCUUCCUUCAGGUGGGGAAUAACCCAGUGAAAAUUGGGCUAAUACCGCAUAACAAAACGAUGAGACAUCUUGUUGUUUUCAAAGGCGCAAGUCGCCAGAAGAGGGAUCCGCGGCCGAUUAGCUUGUUGGCGAGGUAAUGGCUCACCAAGGCAAUGAUCGGUAGCCGGACUGAGAGGUUGGCCGGCCACACUGGAACUGAGACACGGUCCAGACUCCUACGGGAGGCAGCAGUGGGGAAUCUUGCACAAUGGGCGAAAGCCUGAUGCAGCAACGCCGCGUGGGGGAUGAAGCUUCUCGGAGUGUAAACCCCUUUCGACCCGGAAGAAAGCCCGCAAGGGUUUGACGGUACGGGUAUAAGAAGCCCCGGCUAACUACGCGCCAGCAGCCGCGGUAA
rnacentral:rRNA from 1 species